rnacentral:rRNA from 1 species
CUCCUACGGGAGGCAGCAGUGAGGAAUAUUGGUCAAUGGACGCAAGUCUGAACCAGCCAUGCCGCGUGCAGGAAGACGGCUCUAUGAGUUGUAAACUGCUUUUGUACGAGGGUAAACUCACCUACGUGUAGGUGACUGAAAGUAUCGUACGAAUAAGGAUCGGCUAACUCCGUGCCAGCAGCCGCGGUAAUACGGAGGAUUCAAGCGUUAUCCGGAUUUAUUGGGUUUAAAGGGUGCGUAGGCGGUUUGAUAAGUUAGAGGUGAAAUCCCGGGGCUUAACUCCGGAACUGCCUCUAAUACUGUUAGACUAGAGAGUAGUUGCGGUAGGCGGAAUGUAUGGUGUAGCGGUGAAAUGCUUAGAGAUCAUACAGAACACCGAUUGCGAAGGCAGCUUACCAAACUAUAUCUGACGUUGAGGCACGAAAGCGUGGGGAGCAAACAGGAUUAGAUACCCUGGUAGUCCACGCAGUAAACGAUGAUAACUCGUUGUCGGCGAUACACAGUCGGUGACUAAGCGAAAGCGAUAAGUUAUCCACCUGGGGAGUACGUUCGCAAGAAUGAAACUCAAAGGAAUUGACGGGGGCCCGCACAAGCGGAGGAACAUGUGGUUUAAUUCGAUGAUACGCGAGGAACCUUACCCGGGCUUGAAAGUUACUGACGAUUCUGGAAACAGGAUUUCCCUUUGGGGCAGGAAACUAGGAUGCUGCAUGGUUGUCGUCAGCUCGUGCCGUGAGGUGUCGGGUUAAGUCCCAUAACGAGCGCAACCCCUACCGUUAGUUGCCAUCAGGUCAAGCUGGGCACUCUGGCGGGACUGCCGGUGUAAGCCGAGAGGAAGGUGGGGAUGACGUCAAAUCAGCACGGCCCUUACGUCCGGGGCUACACACGUGUUACAAUGGUAGGUACAGAGGGUCGCUACUCCGUGAGGAGAUGCCAAUCUCGAAAGCCUAUCUCAGUUCGGAUAUGGAGGCUGAAACCCGCCUCCAUGAAGUUGGAUUCGCUAGUAAUCGCGCAUCAGCCAUGGCGCGGUGAAUACG